AUUGAACGCUGGCGGCAGGCUUAACACAUGCAAGUCGAGCGGUAGCACAGGGGAGCUUGCUCCCUGGGUGACGAGCGGCGGGCGGGUGAGUAAUGUCUGGGAAACUGCCUGAUGGAGGGGGAUAACUACUGGAAACGGUAGCUACUACCGCAUAACGUCGCAAGACCAAAGAGGGGGACAUUCGGGCCUCUUGCCAUCGGCUGUGCCCAGAUGGGAUUAGCUAGUAGGUGGGGUAAUGGCUCACCUAGGCGACGAUCCCUAGCUGGUCUGAGAGGAUGACCAGCCACACUGGAACUGAGACACGGUCCAGACUCCUACGGGAGGCAGCAGUGGGGAAUAUUGCACAAUGGGCGCAAGCCUGAUGCAGCCAUGCCGCGUGUGUGAAGAAGGCCUUCGGGUUGUAAAGCACUUUCAGCGAGGAGGAAGGUGGUGAGCUUAAUACGUUCAUCAAUUGACGUUACUCGCAGAAGAAGCACCGGCUAACUCCGUG
rnacentral:rRNA from 1 species